GGCCCAAAAUUGAAGUAGAAUAGAUUGGCAGGAUCAGGUGACCAUACUAAUCUAUUCUACUUCAAGUUUGUGCCC
rfam:Haemonchus contortus, ISE/inbred ISE, WGS project CAVP01000000 data, contig: Hcontortus_30449